AAUGUUAUCUCUGAAGCCGAGAAAUGCAAACUGUAAAUAGACAUGUUAAUAAAGUUAAUCAACAGUUGGACUUCGUCUGGUGGAGUGUUUGUUUGACCAGUGCUGUUUCUCAGCAUGGGAAUACAGUCUGGAGAAGGAGGUGAGACCGGGAUGAUGAAUUUUGGAAUCCACUCGGCCUCCCAUCAUCCCCUGACAGCAAUUAAGCAGGAACACAGUGCACAGGUUUUGGAGAAGCUCCAACACUGGACCUGA
rnacentral:lncRNA from 11 species